UACGGGGGGGGCAAGCGUUGUUCGGAAUUACUGGGCGUAAAGGGCUCGUAGGCGGUUCGAUCAGUCAGGGGUGAAAUCCCAGGGCUCAACCCUGGAACUGCCUUUGAUACUGCCGAUCUGGAGUAUGGAAGAGGUGAGUGGAAUUCCGAGUGUAGAGGUGAAAUUCGUAGAUAUUCGGAGGAACACCAGUGGCGAAGGCGGCGCACUGGUCCAUUACUGACGCUGAGGUGCGAAAGCGUGGGGAGCAAACAGG
rnacentral:rRNA from 1 species